AAAUAUCCACCCCCUUACAAGCAUUUCUGGACGGCAGAGAGCUAAUUUGGCCCAAGGCUGGGGGCUGUGUUUUGUGUGUGUGUAUAAAUUUGCACUGAAGUCUUGUUUCAGAAACCAGACCACUGAGGAGAGCCUGCUGAGCUGAGGCCAUGCCUGCGUGGCUUGGGGAAAUGAGUUGGUGGAUGCCUUCUGGGCUUUGAACUUGCCCUUCCCCCAUUUCCCUCUCCCCCAUGUGUCUGACCCUGUCUUACCCGUUUCGAGUUCCAGCGGUGCAGCCCCCCCGAAGCGUCAAUGCACACACCUGCUGUUGCUUUUGAUUUCUGGAAGGCAUGUAGUUUCAACUUGUAACAAAUAUUUGUAGUCUUCAAUAAACUGUGGUAUUUCUUUAGCUAACUCUGGCGUUCUUUCCGUGCAUGUCUGUCUGGACACCAGGAGCCAAUGUUGUGCCGUGGAUGACGGGUGGAGGGGGGCCUUUUCAGUCAAACCCCAGCAUAGCCAAAGAACUAAGAACUGUUACCCUCUCGUCAUGGUGAUUGUGUUAAGGUGGGAGAGGGGAAGCAGCCUCAGUUUCCAGCCCUUUGAUUGAUUGGUAAAGAAAGUGAUUUUGUAGAAAAUCCCUGAUUCUCCAUGCUUAUUACAGCUCUUUUCCACGUAGGUCUUCCCCUUGCCUCUGACGUAAGCGGAGGGAAAGGCCUGAAACAGCUUGGUCCUGUCAUGUGAAAGGCAGACGAGGUGGCGUUCGGAGCUGGUUUAGGGAAGUGGCUUCCAAGGCCCCAGGCCAGGUGGCCGGUUGAGAUUUGUUAAAGUCUUUCGUGACUCCAGCCUGUGGAAACUGUGCUAGCCUGCAACAGUGUUCUUACUCUUCGGCCCUCCAUACGCUUCUCAGGGGUUGUGGAUUAUUCGUUGUUUUGCACUUGUGGGUGUAGCUAAGGAUGUGUGGGAGAGGUUUGCUUAUACUUCUCCCUGACUAUGGAAAUUCUUAUCCCCACUCAAUCCAAGGGCUAGUACACCAUCACCCCUUGGUUUACAGAGUUAACUUGUAUGGUGAGAACACCAUCCUUGGUUAAUUGGAAACCCAGAUAUUCCACUUCCUUUGUACUUGUUCCCAGCCCUCGAGUAAUUUUUUCCUGUGAGUGUGACCAGCUUCCCCAGGGGCUGCCAUGCUGGAAGAUGUUGGUUCUUGUUUGUCCUCCAUGCUGUCUCCACAUCAGGUCAGUGUGGUUGCCACUGCUUGGGAGUGGGGGAUAGACGGGGCGUUGACUGUUGGAAGGAAAGCAAGAGAACUCUAGUCUGAGGAGCUUUCUCGUAACUGGUGAAGGGUAAGUGGGGAAGCCAACACCCGUUAUGUCUAGUGCUCACACUCAGGCUGUUAGGGCUGCUACAGUGUUCUCUUGUCCUGCACCUCCAGCCCUUCAACCAAUACCCAGACUAAAGCCUCAGGACUAGAAGCUAGAUUUUACCUAGUCCAGCCUCUGGAAAGAAUGAGACCAGGUUGGGGGGAGGGGGCUGGCAAUCUAAAACUAAAUUCCUCCCUACCACCCAGCUUGAGAAACCAGUUAGCUGUUUCUCUCAUCCAGCAUGGGGUAACCCUGGGUGUCUGCAAGGUGUUUGAACCUUUUCAGUAAAAAUCAGUCAUUGUCUCUGAUUUCCCUCAAAAAUGUUUGUAUCCUUUCUGUCCCACCUCACUCUCAGCCCUUCCACACAAACCUCCUUGGUGGCUUAGCCUUUUCCAUUAAUCAGCUGUUCUUAAGGUUAUGUCCAUUACCCGUGAUGUGCAUAAGGGCACGCGGGGUUUGAAGAGGGAGGGGGUCAGACUACCCCCAUUUGUCCCUGUAUCAUCCCUUUCUUUUCUUCAGUGCCUAUGAGGUGUAGAGUUGCUGCUUUGGAGAUGGGACAAUGUUUUCUCAUGCUCUGAUUCUGUAGUUCUGUUCUUUUUCUUGGCUCCUCCGUGGAACCAUCUGGACUUGUGCUAUGGGAGGGCUUUCCAGGUUAAGGUGCCACUUUUGGGGAGAUCCUGCAGUAGCUCUCCAAGGAGGACUUAACUUCUGAGGGCUGCCUUUGUCCUAGGCAUUGGGAGGAUUGGGGUUCUGGAGUUUGAAGGGGGACUUGCUCUUGGGUUUGGGAGGCAUUUGUGAUUUGGUCACUUUAGCACAGUGCUUCUAAAAAAACUCUUCCAUCAAAGUGUCCCUAAUAGCAGGAGAGAAGGAUCCAAGGAUACAGUUUUUCUGAAGUUCAUUUUAUCUCAUGUGAUGAGAUUGAAUGUAUCUUUAAAAGCGUGCUUUAAAUUUGAGUUAUUUUCCCUCAAAUCUUGGCAUAAAAUUUCUCUAGUAAGAUGCUAGAUUAUUUUAUCUGAUGGCUUUUUCCUGUCUCCCUGACCCAUGGCUCCAUACCCGAGGGUACAGUGUGUCUAUUUCAGUGUCGAGAGUAGAAAUUAAGACGAGGAGUGGUACUGGUUUCCUUGAAGUGGUGGUGGUUGUAGGGAGUUCUUCGCCGGGAAGCACGCAAGUUAUUGGGAGCAUGGAUCAGAGCCUGUGUCUCACAGAGAAGCUCAGGUUGUAAAUGAUGAGAACGUCAGAUUUUGUAUUCCACAUAGACCCGUAGGAGAUAGCCUACCCCACUGCCUUCCUAAUCCCUGUCCCUUCCCCAUGCUUAGGCUUAAAUUACUUAGCUGGAAAUGCACCUUUUGUGUCAGCUCUUUAAGUCAUAAGUACCUAGCCUAGAAGAGCCAGGACUGGAGAAGCCAGGGGAGCUGAGACUGCGAGAAUGGACCGUGCUCUUGGGGUUGGACUGGACUGCUCCUUGAGCUCUUACCUUACGCUGUGAAAGCAUGGAUCCUGAGCCCAAAAGUGUCUCUUCAUGAACAGAAAGAGCCCAGACUACCUGUCUUCGGGAGCGGGACUGAGUGGAGUCUGGAUGGGUUGAUUUAAAAUGGACAUUAAAAGUUUAAUACAUUUCUUUUGGGCUUUGGUACAAAACUAUUUUGAAAAAUGUAUGCUAGUGGGGUGUCGCUAUUUCCCCUUGCCCCACAGAAAGCAACUCAUCUCGCUUUCUCACACACAUACUCAGUACAUACCUGGAAAGGGCAAGAGAUUUGGGUCAUGAGCUCUCAUCUCUCAGGCCUGACCUGAGAUGGAAAAGCAGACCAGCAUUCCCUUGCAGUGCGAUAGCUAGGAAGGCUGCACACACCAUCUCCUCGCCGGGAGAGGGGCCAGCAGCUAGCUGAGCUAAUCCUCCUGUCUGUUUCCUCCUCCCCCAGGUGUAUCAGUCACCUCCAGUAACACGGGCGUGCCAGAUAUCUCGGGUUCUGUGUACUCCAAAACCCAGCAGUCCUUUGAGAAACAAGGUUUUCAUUCCGGUACUCCUGCUGCCUCCUUCAACUUGCCUUCAGCCCUAGGAAGUGGGGGGCCCAUCAAUCCGGCCACAGCUGCUGCCUACCCACCUGCCCCCUUUAUGCACAUUCUGACCCCCCAUCAGCAGCCGCACUCCCAGAUCCUCCACCAUCACCUGCAGCAGGAUGGCCAGCUACCAUAUUUGCAGAUGAUUCUCUGUUGCCAGCGCCAGCAGGAGGAGCAGACGGGCAGCGGGCAACGUAGCCAGACCAGCUCCAUCCCGCAGAAGCCCCAGACCAACAAGUCUGCCUACAACAGCUACAGCUGGGGGGCCAACUGAGGCCCUGACCCUCUUCUUCUCCCGGUCCCAUCUUCUGAGAGGGCUUCUCAGCCUGGCAACUACGGAAACAGCAUCAAAGAGAGAAAGGAAUGGGGGGGGGUCCGCUGCCCCCCCCACCCCCAGCGGCCCACCCCAUGCCUCAGCUUCAUGUCUGUCCCGUUCCCAUACCAUCCCCACUCUGUUGUAUGUAUUAUAGGAUUUGUAUUUUCUUUUUUUUUCUCCUUUCCUCUCCUCCUCCUCCCUUGCAUUCAAGAUUAUGAAACUUUGCUGUGGGCCCUGCCUUCCUUCUCCUCCUCCUGUUCACCCUGGUGGUGUAUGGGUGAGGUGGGUGGGGGGGACCCCCAAAUAUAUAUCAGCCCAACAGCCCUGUCUCCUCCUUUAUUAUUAGGAAACAAAACAACAACAAAAAAUGGCGUCAUGAAUAUGAACAGCAUUGUCAGAUGAAUUAGUUGAAGUGUUUUUUUUUUUUUUUGUACUGUGUCCUCAAAUUUAAUGGAUUAAUGUGUCUUGUAUAUAUAAAAAGAAAACCUCUACCUUCA